rnacentral:rRNA from 1 species
UACGAAGGGGGCUAGCGUUGUUCGGAAUUACUGGGCGUAAAGCGCGCGCAGGCGGUCUUCCAAGUCAGUGGUGAAAGCCCAGGGCUCAACCCUGGAAUUGCCUUUGAUACUGGCUAUCUUGAGUGUGGGAGAGGUUAGCGGAACUCCGAGUGUAGAGGUGAAAUUCGUAGAUAUUACGGAAGAACACCAGUGGCGAAGGCGGCUAACUGGCCCAUUACUG